UACAGAGGGGGCAAGCGUUAUUCGGAAUUAUUGGGCGUAAAGGGCGCGUAGGCGGCUUUGCAAGUGACGGGUGAAAUCCCUCGGCUUAACCGAGGAACUGCCUGUCAAACUGCAUGGCUUGAGACCAGGAGAGGUGAGUGGAAUUCCCAGUGUAGCGGUGAAAUGCGUAGAUAUUGGGAGGAACACCAGUGGCGAAAGCGACUUCCUGGACCAAUACUGACGCUCAUGUGCGAAAGCGUGGGGAGCAAACAGG
rnacentral:rRNA from 1 species